AUGAGUAUUACAGCUUGAGGACGACACUGUUACUGUUACAUGAACUCCAAGAUUUUCCUAACUGAGAGACUGGCUUCUUACAUAGAAUUGUAGGCUGAAAACUCUAUUUUGCUGAAGAGCUAUGGAUGCUGAUCAAGCUCCAUCUUGCGUUGUUGCUCCAUAAUAUUGUUGCUAAUGUUGUUAGUCCAUGAUGAUGAGGAUCUACAAACAUCUAAGGGUGUUUUGUGAAUUCAAGGCCAACAAUGAUUCGAAACAAUAUGAACUUUGCUUUACGCCCCUUGCAAGAAGAAUAAGGAGCAGCUAAUUGGAGAUCGAUUGAUUGAAGUUUUUUUUUUUUUUUUUUUUGUUGUUGAAGAAAUGAGCAGAUUUAUUCCACUAGCUAGUACACGCUAGUCAUGAGUGAAGUGUAGGUUGGAAUUAUUAUUUCUUGUACUACCUAAUAGCAAACUCAUUACAAUGAGAUAUUGUCCAUGUACUAUAACAUAUUUAUAUGCAAUAACAAAAUUGGCUUAAUUUUGCUGUGUA